GAUGAACGCUGGCGGCGUGCCUAAUACAUGCAAGUCGAGCGAACAGAUUAGGAGCUUGCUCCUCUGACGUUAGCGGCGGACGGGUGAGUAACACGUGGAUAACCUACCUAUAAGACUGGGAUAACUUCGGGAAACCGGAGCUAAUACCGGAUAAUAUAUUGAACCGCAUGGUUCUAUAGUGAAAGACGGUUUUGCUAUCACUUAUAGAUGGAUCCGCGCCGCAUUAGCUAGUUGGUAAGGUAACGGCUUACCAAGGCAACGAUACGUAGCCGACCUGAGAGGGUGAUCGGCCACACUGGAACUGAGACACGGUCCAGACUCCUACGGGAGGCAGCAGUAGGGAAUCUUCCGCAAUGGGCGAAAGCCUGACGGAGCAACGCCGCGUGAGUGAUGAAGGUCUUCGGAUCGUAAAACUCUGUUAUUAGGGAAGAACAAAUGUGUAAGUAACUAUGCACGUCUUGACGGUACCUAAUCAGAAAGCCACGGCUAACUACGUG
rnacentral:rRNA from 1 species